UUUAGAUAAUAAAAGUUAAAAAUUAAUAUUUUCGUGUUGUAUUUUUGUUGUAAUGUAGAUAUUAAGCAUAACAGUUUUUAUUUUUACGCGUGUAAUUUAAUCAAUUAUAAACUAUUUAAAAUCUAAUUAACAUGAGUAAAUUUUCGAAGUUUUUAAAUUUCACUGUUAGAGGAGCUUUAUUUGGGGCAACUCUAUAUGGUUCAUCUGAAUUAGGUUUAUGGAAAGACCCUGAAACCUCUCGAGAAAUAGCUAAGUUAAUUAUUGCAAUAUUAACACCUUACACAAAAAAAGUUCAAGAACAGUUGCCUGAACAAGUGAGUUCAUUACCUACUGUAGAAAAUUUUAAGUCUACAACUACUUGUUGUUGGAAUAAGAGUGUAUACAAUGCUGGUGAAUUUGUGAUAGAUAUACCUAAUAAAUGCCUUCGUGCUGCUGACAAAGCUUAUCAAUUAGUUGAGGUGCAGAUUAAUAAAUCUAAAGAAAAUGAAUAAUAUAUCAUUAUCUAAUUGAGAAGAAAUAUGAAAAAUUGAGGAUAACUUAUUUUAAAACAAACAUUUCAUAAAUAUUUUUCAGAUUGCACUCAAGACUAAAUAUUCUGGUUUCUUCCUUUGGCUUAAUUAAUAAUUUUAUUCAUGUCACAAUAUAGAAUGAAUAUAAUAAAAAAUGUUAACUAACUUUUUUAUCUAAAAGUAGUAAAUAGAAUCAUUACAUAAAUAUUCUCAUACUGUUAUUUUAAUUACCAUUCUAAAUACAUUUUUUGUAAUGAAUAGGGCUACGAAUUAUAUGAAAUUAAAAAUUUUGUUUGUGCCACUUUGAAAGUUACACAAUUUUGUUUGUAGAGUUAUAUAAUGCCAUAGAAAUAAUUUUUUGUUUUAAGGAGUAUAACCCCUACAAAUUAUAACAUCGGUAACAACACAUUUCUAUGUUUUAAAUUUUUAUAUACUAUAGUAUAUAUAUUAUUAUGUCCAUUGAUUUAACUGUAAUAUUAAGUGUUACUAUAACUAGGAAUAUUUGCCAUUUACACAGAGUUGAAAUAGGAACUAAAUUAAAAAAAAAAAACAGUUUAAAUUUAAUUGUAAUAAAAAGCAAUAUAUGUACUAUGUUUUAAACGACUUACAUAAUGAUUUCAUAACAUUUAACAACAAAACAAUAAUAGUAAUGAAAAUGCACUUUAAUUUUCACAAAAUGUUAAAAAAUUUUUUUGAAAAUUAAAGUAAAGUUAAAGUAGAGAUUUUAAUGUUUUAUUUUGCGUAAAGAAAGAAAAUGUGAAUUGAUCAACAUAUAGAUAUUUGUAAUGAGUUUGUUAUAAUAGUGAAAAAAGUAAACAAGUAUCUAAAAUUAAUUUGAUGAUUAGUAUGCAUGUAAAAAAUUAAGUCUAUUGUAAUAAAGUUAUGCAUACUACUAUGUAAGCAUAUUAAUAAAAUUUUUUUACAUAAAUAACUAUUUUAAAUCAUUAAAUAAUAGAAUAAAGAAAUACUAAGAGAAAACAUGU